rnacentral:rRNA from 1 species
CAAGCCCUGGAAACGGGGUCUAAUACCGGAUAUGACAUCCUCCCGCAUGGGAAGGGUGUGGAAAGCUCCGGCGGUGCAGGAUGAGCCCGCGGCCUAUCAGCUUGUUGGUGGGGUGAUGGCCUACCAAGGCGACGACGGGUAGCCGGCCUGAGAGGGCGACCGGCCACACUGGGACUGAGACACGGCCCAGACUCCUACGGGAGGCAGCAGUGGGGAAUAUUGCACAAUGGGCGAAAGCCUGAUGCAGCGACGCCGCGUGAGGGAUGACGGCCUUCGGGUUGUAAACCUCUUUCAGCAGGGAAGAAGCGAAAGUGACGGUACCUGCAGAAGAAGCACCGGCUAACUACGUGCCAGCAGCCGCGGUAAUACGUAGGGUGCGAGCGUUGUCCGGAACUAUUGGGCGUAAAGAGCUCGUAGGCGGCCUGUCACGUCGGAUGUGAAAGCCCGGGGCUUAACCCCGGGUCUGCAUUCGAUACGGGCAGGCUAGAGUUCGGUAGGGGAGAUCGGAAUUCCUGGU